rnacentral:lncRNA from 1 species
UCUCAGUCAUACUUGUAUUGAUUCAUCUGACACAAGGUCAUUGAUGAAUCAAUUAGCCUUUAGACAUUAGAGAUUUCAUUGGUCAAAUGAGGGAAUGGGGAAGAAUAUGGAUGAAGAUGAAGAGGGAGGGGAAAUAGAAACACAAAUUGAUCAUGGGAGAAAUUUCAUCAAAUCAAAACCAUCCAUUCAUUUUCGAAGAUGAAAUGUUCAUUUCAUCAAUCCCCUAAAUCCAAUGGUUUUGAUCCAACAAAAGUCAAAUCAACCUUGACCAAGGACCAAACAGAAAGUCAAAC